rnacentral:tRNA from 1 species
UCCUCCUUUGCUCAAUUUGCUUAUCAUUCGACUGUUUAUUUUAUUGUUGCUGGUUCAAGUCCAGCAGGAGGAG